rnacentral:pre_miRNA from 1 species
AGUAGAAUUGCUGGGCAAUAUGGUAACUCUAUAUUUAACAUUUUGAACAACUAUCAAGCUGUUUUUCAGUGUCUGCACCAUUUUGUAUUCCUACCAGCAAU